rnacentral:tRNA from 1 species
AGUAAGGUAAGCUAAUACAAGCCUUUGGGCCCAUACCCCAACUAUGUAGGUUAAACCCCUCCCUUUACU